GAUGAACGCUGGCGGCGUGCCUAAUACAUGCAAGUCGAGCGAACAGACGAGGAGCUUGCUCCUCUGACGUUAGCGGCGGACGGGUGAGUAACACGUGGAUAACCUACCUAUAAGACUGGGAUAACUUCGGGAAACCGGAGCUAAUACCGGAUAAUAUAUUGAACCGCAUGGUUCAAUAGUGAAAGACGGUUUUGCUGUCACUUAUAGAUGGAUCCGCGCCGCAUUAGCUAGUUGGUAAGGUAACGGCUUACCAAGGCGACGAUGCGUAGCCGACCUGAGAGGGUGAUCGGCAACACUGGACCUGAGACACGGUCCAGACUCCUACGGGAGGCAGCAGUAGGGAAUCUUCCGAAAUGGGCGAAAGCCUGACGGAGCAACGCCGCGUGAGUGAUGAAGGUCUUCGGAUCGUAAAACUCUGUUAUUAGGGAAGAACAAAUGUGUAAGUAACUAUGCACGUCUUGACGGUACCUAAUCAGAAAGCCACGGCUAACUACGUG
rnacentral:rRNA from 1 species